AACGCUAGCUACAGGCUUAACACAUGCAAGUCGAGGGGCAGCAUCAUCAAAGCUUGCUUUGAUGGAUGGCGACCGGCGCACGGGUGAGUAACACGUAUCCAACCUGCCGACAACACUGGGAUAGCCUUUCGAAAGAAAGAUUAAUACCGGAUGGCAUAAUUAUUCCGCAUGGGAUAAUUAUUAAAGAAUUUCGGUUGUCGAUGGGGAUGCGUUCCAUUAGGCAGUUGGCGGGGUAACGGCCCACCAAACCUACGAUGGAUAGGGGUUCUGAGAGGAAGGUCCCCCACAUUGGAACUGAGACACGGUCCAAACUCCUACGGGAGGCAGCAGUGAGGAAUAUUGGUCAAUGGGCGGGAGCCUGAACCAGCCAAGUCGCGUGAAGGAAGAAGGAUCUAUGGUUCGUAAACUUCUUUUGCAGGGGAAUAAAGUGCAGGACGUGUCCUGUUUUGUAUGUACCCUGAGAAUAAGGAUCGGCUAACUCCGUGCCAGCAGCCGCGGUAAUACGGAGGAUCCGAGCGUUAUCCGGAUUUAUUGGGUUUAAAGGGUGCGUAGGUGGUUUGAUAAGUCAGCGGUGAAAGUUUGCAGCUUAACUGUAAAAAUGCCGUUGAAACUGUCGGACUUGAGUGUAAAUGAGGUAGGCGGAAUGCGUGGUGUAGCGGUGAAAUGCAUAGAUAUCACGAAGAACUCCGAUUG
rnacentral:rRNA from 1 species